GCAGGUCUCCUCCCCUCCCCUGCUGCUCCAGCACACAGCUGCAUCCUUCCUGUUGGGUGAGAAGCCCCCCAGGAGUCACCAUGGGCUGGUGGAGAGAUGGCUUGUGAAAAGGGGGGAGGGCGAGAAUGCGAUUACAUCAAUUUCCACAGCAGGAGGAUCAGAUUGCAUCAUUGUACACAACUUGGGGCCUGCUCUUUUAUCCCUGAUGCAGGCAAAUUCCCCAUUGAAAUCAGUGGGAGAUUUGUCUGUGCAAGGACUGCAGAAUCGAGCAUUCUGUGAUCACACAAUUAGAAAGCAGUAGGAAGCCACACCUGGCAGCACCUCUCAGUGGUGCUCUCCCCUCCAAUGGGACGGAUAUAAAAUCAAAACAAACACCACUACAAUAGCAAUGUUAAACUCCUUCUCCCUCUUGUAGACAAACUCCUACAAAUCCACCACCACAGUUCAUGCAUCGGAAUCUGAAGAAAGUUCCUACCAGUGAGCUGGAGAAUCCCCACAGAACAAAUAACAACAAGAAAGGAUUUUUAUAGGGGAAAAAAGAGUGUUUGAUGGAUGAGAGAAACCAUACAUGAAAACCUCAGAGCCCAUCAGCUCAACUUGUGCAGCACAACAGUGCGAGGUCCCUUUUCUCAGUGUUUCACAAAGAAGCCAUGGUACCACAGCACAACAUGCACUGCUCUCACUUCCACACACUUUGCAUCCACUUUCAUCUGCAUAAAAAUGUUCCAUGUAGCACCUCAGAUGUUUCCCCGCUUCAGCUGCUGCUGCCCCCUGCACACGUUCCUGCCAUGAUUCCCCAGAACACACUGGUAAACAGCUUAGGAAAACCAGAAGUAAAAUCUUGUAUCAGA